AUUGAACGCUAGCGGGAUGCCUUACACAUGCAAGUCGAACGGAGUGGCGAACGGGUGAGUAAUGUAUCGGAACGAGCCCAGUAGCGGGGGAUGAAUACGCGAAAGCGUAGCUAAUAACGCAUACAUUUGGAGCGGGCGACAUCGGAUGAGCUAGGUGGUGGGGUAACGGCUAACCAAGGCGACGAUCCGUAGCUGGUUUGAGAGGACGACCAGCCACACUGGGACUGAGACACGGCCCAGACUCCUACGGGAGGCAGCAGUGGGGAAUUUUGGACAAUGGGGGAAACCCUGAUCCAGCCAUCCCGCGUGUGCGAUGAAGGCCUUCGGGUUGUAAAGCACUUUUGGCAGGAAAGCGGUACCUGCAGAAUAAGCACCGGCUAACUACGUGCCAGCAGCCGCGGUAAUUC
rnacentral:rRNA from 1 species